GAUGAACGCUGGCGGCGUGCCUAAUACAUGCAAGUCGAGCGAACAGACGAGGAGCUUGCUCCUUUGACGUUAGCGGCGGACGGGUGAGUAACACGUGGGUAACCUACCUAUAAGACUGGGAUAACUUCGGGAAACCGGAGCUAAUACCGGAUAAUAUUUCGAACCGCAUGGUUCGAUAGUGAAAGAUGGCUUUGCUAUCACUUAUAGAUGGACCUGCGCCGUAUUAGCUAGUUGGUAAGGUAACGGCUUACCAAGGCAACGAUACGUAGCCGACCUGAGAGGGUGAUCGGCCACACUGGAACUGAGACUCGGUCCAGACUCCUACGGGAGGCAGCAGUAGGGAAUCUUCCGCAAUGGGCGAAAGUCUGACGGAGCAACGCCGCGUGAGUGAUGAAGGUCUUCGGAUCGUAAAACUCUGUUAUUAGGGAAGAACAAACGUGUAAGUAACUGUGCACGUCUUGACGGUACCUAAUCAGAAAGCCACGGCUAACUACGUGCCAGCAGCCGCGGUAAUACGUAGGUGGCAAGCGUUAUCCGGAAUUAUUGGGCGUAAAGCGCGCGUAGGCGGUUUUUUAAGUCUGAUGUGAAAGCCCACGGCUCAACCGUGGAGGGUCAUUGGAAACUGGAAAACUUGAGUGCAGAAGAGGAAAGUGGAAUUCCAUGUGUAGCGGUGAAAUGCGCAGAGAUAUGGAGGAACACCAGUGGCGAAGGCGACUUUCUGGUCUGUAACUGACGCUGAUGUGCGAAAGCGUGGAGAUCAAACAGGAUUAGAUACCCUGGUAGUCCACGCCGUAAACGAUGAGUGCUAAGUGUUAGGGGGUUUCCGCCCCUUAGUGCUGCAGCUAACGCAUUAAGCACUCCGCCUGGGGAGUACGACCGCAAGGUUGAAACUCAAAGGAAUUGACGGGGACCCGCACAAGCGGUGGAGCAUGUGGUUUAAUUCGAAGCAACGCGAAGAACCUUACCAAAUCUUGACAUCCUUUGCUCCUUCUAGAGAUAGAAGUUUCCCCUUCGGGGGACAAAGUGACAGGUGGUGCAUGGUUGUCGUCAGCUCGUGUCGUGAGAUGUUGGGUUAAGUCCCGCAACGAGCGCAACCCUUAAGCUUAGUUGCCAUCAUUAAGUUGGGCACUCUAAGUUGACUGCCGGUGACAAACCGGAGGAAGGUGGGGAUGACGUCAAAUCAUCAUGCCCCUUAUGAUUUGAGCUACACACGUGCUACAAUGGACAAUACAAAGGGCAGCGAAACCGCGAGGUCGAGCAAAUCCCAUAAAGUUGUUCUCAGUUCGGAUUGUAGUCUGCAACUCGACUACAUGAAGCUGGAAUCGCUAGUAAUCGUAGAUCAGCAUGCUACGGUGAAUACGUUCCCGGGUCUUGUACACACCGCCCGUCACACCACGAGAGUUUGUAACACCCGAAGCCGGUGGAGUAACCAUUUGGAGCUAGCCGUCGAAGGUGGGACAAAUGAUUGGGGUGAAGUCGUAACAAGGUAGCCGUAUCGGAAGG
rnacentral:rRNA from 1 species